AAAAAUUAUAUCUAGUAAUUUUAAUGAUAAGUGCACUUAAGAUUUAGACUGUAGAAGAAUUUUUAAUCAUUUUAUUUUUAUUUAAAGUUAAGUGUCUUUUUCAUAAGACCUAUUGAAUUACUUCCAAUUUUAUAUAUUUAUUUAUAAAACAGAUAGUCCUUUGGGGACAUCCGAUAAAAUUAAUAAAACGGAUGAAAACUAAUUUUAUUCGGUUAAAUUUUUUUUACAAUUUUGCACCAAAUAACUGUCAUUUUCUUUAGAAACCAAAAUUUGGCCAAAAAAAGAGAAUUAAUAUUGCGCAUGAAAUUUACUUUGAUGAGAAAAAUCAUCUACAAGAAUCACAAUAAAAAGAAUAAGUUUCCUUCUUCUUUAAACUUUAAUUCUAUAUAAUUUAGUUUGUAAUUUAACCUAAUUUCAGAGAGCGAGAGGGAGAGAAAAGGCUGCCGCCAUCGCCGCUGCCCGGCCUGACCUCGCUGCCGCGAUCUAUCGCCAACGCCCUUCCCAUCUCUGUCGCCACCUGUUGCUGCCUCCCCGCUCCUUGCUAUGGCCAACCAUCGCUACCGCCCCGCUCCUUGCUCAGAAGAAGGAUAGGAGCAAUUGAUCUUAAUUUCUUCGGUUCAGCUGAUUCUAUACCUAGGAGUACAAGUCUGAGAUUGGAGAUGCUAUUCUAGAGAGAGUUAUUAGGUGGUGAAGAAUCUCAUAUGGCUAUUCUUAGGAUCGAAAGAAUAUUAAUAAGUGGCUUACAAGCUGAACAACCUAGCCAUAGAAGUUGAAGCAAAGCUACGAGAAGUAGUAAAGAAAUGUCUAUUCAGAAGAAGCUAUCAUAUACAGUUCUUCUUUUGCUCAGGAAAAGAGCUCAAAGAGAAAAGAACUAGAGGACCUACUAUAUUGAGUAAGUCCAAAUUGCAGGAGCUCCUAAACAGUGGAAAUGAUUCUUUUUCCACUGUUAUGGAAGAGGGAUUACAAGAACCAAUUUGAAGAACGGAGUAGGAUGCAGUUCUUCAGUAAUUGUACCCGAAGAGCUUGUGCAAUUUAUCACGGACAAGAUAAGAAAAGAACUGAAAGAUCACUUUGAAAAGGAGAUGGCUGGGUAUAAGGCGUUAUUUGAAAGUAUUAUGUCUCAAGUGAAUCCGACAGUAGAUGAACCAAGUGAAAAUUCGGAUUCUAAAAGCGCUCAAUUUUGAUUGAGAGCUCCUCUAAUUAAGUACUAGUUAUGUUUUGUAGGAUAAUCGUUAUGUUUGAUGAAUACAUUUUCUUUUUUGUGAUGUAAUGGAUGGAAUAUUUUUAGACUUUGAAUUUUAUGAAUAUGUUCCUGUCUUCUAAUUUUAGUAAAUAUUUUAUGUUAUCCAUUUUUAGUGAAUGUUUUAUGUUUUUAAAUUUAGCGAAUAAUAGUUUCCGCUUUUAA